rnacentral:rRNA from 2 species
CAUGCAAGUCGAACGAGUUCUCGUUGAUGAUCGGUGCUUGCACCGAGAUUCAACAUGGAACGAGUGGCGGACGGGUGAGUAACACGUGGGUAACCUGCCCUUAAGUGGGGGAUAACAUUUGGAAACAGAUGCUAAUACCGCAUAGAUCCAAGAACCGCAUGGUUCUUGGCUGAAAGAUGGCGUAAGCUAUCGCUUUUGGAUGGACCCGCGGCGUAUUAGCUAGUUGGUGAGGUAAUGGCUCACCAAGGCGAUGAUACGUAGCCGAACUGAGAGGUUGAUCGGCCACAUUGGGACUGAGACACGGCCCAAACUCCUACGGGAGGCAGCAGUAGGGAAUCUUCCACAAUGGACGCAAGUCUGAUGGAGCAACGCCGCGUGAGUGAAGAAGGCUUUCGGGUCGUAAAACUCUGUUGUUGGAGAAGAAUGGUCGGCAGAGUAACUGUUGUCGGCGUGACGGUAUCCAACCAGAAAGCCACGGCUAACUACGUGCCAGCAGCCGCGGUAAUACGUAGGUGGCAAGCGUUAUCCGGAUUUAUUGGGCGUAAAGCGAGCGCAGGCGGUUUUUUAAGUCUGAUGUGAAAGCCCUCGGCUUAACCGAGGAAGCGCAUCGGAAACUGGGAAACUUGAGUGCAGAAGAGGACAGUGGAAC